rnacentral:rRNA from 1 species
UUGAACGCUGGCGGCAGGCCUAACACAUGCAAGUCGAACGGUAACAGGAAACAGCUUGCUGUUUCGCUGACGAGUGGCGGACGGGUGAGUAAUGUCUGGGAAACUGCCUGAUGGAGGGGGAUAACUACUGGAAACGGUAGCUAAUACCGCAUAACGUCGCAAGACCAAAGAGGGGGACCUUCGGGCCUCUUGCCAUCGGAUGUGCCCAGAUGGGAUUAGCUUGUUGGUGGGGUAACGGCUCACCAAGGCGACGAUCCCUAGCUGGUCUGAGAGGAUGACCAGCCACACUGGAACUGAGACACGGUCCAGACUCCUACGGGAGGCAGCAGUGGGGAAUAUUGCACAAUGGGCGCAAGCCUGAUGCAGCCAUGCCGCGUGUAUGAAGAAGGCCUUCGGGUUGUAAAGUACUUUCAGCGGGGAGGAAGGGAGUAAAGUUAAUACCUUUGCUCAUUGACGUUACCCGCAGAAGAAGCACCGGCUAACUCCGUGCCAGCAACCGCGGUAAUACGGAGGGUGCAAGCGUUAAUCGGAAUUACUGGGCGUAAAGCGCACGCAGGCGGUUUGUUAAGUCAGAUGUGAAAUCCCCGGGCUCAACCUGGGAACUGCAUCUGAUACUGGCAAGCUUGAGUCUCGUAGAGGGGGGUAGAAUUCCAGGUGUAGCGGUGAAAUGCGUAGAGAUCUGGAGGAAUACCGGUGGCGAAGGCGGCCCCCUGGACGAAGACUGACGCUCAGGUGCGAAAGCGUGGGGAGCAAACAGGAUUAGAUACCCUGGUAGUCCACACCGUAAACGAUGGAUACUAGGUGUAGGAGAUAUUAAGUCUUCUGUGCCGUCGCAAACGCAAUAAGUAUCCCACCUGGGGAGUACGGCCGCAAGGUUGAAACUCAAAGGAAUUGACGGGGGCCCGCACAAGCGGUGGAGCAUGUGGUUUAAUUCGAUGCAACGCGAAGAACCUUACCUGGUCUUGACAUCCACGGAAGUUUUCAGAGAUGAGAAUGUGCCUUCGGGAACCGUGAGACAGGUGCUGCAUGGCUGUCGUCAGCUCGUGUUGUGAAAUGUUGGGUUAAGUCCCGCAACGAGCGCAACCCUUAUCCUUUGUUGCCAGCGGUCCGGCCGGGAACUCAAAGGAGACUGCCAGUGAUAAACUGGAGGAAGGUGGGGAUGACGUCAAGUCAUCAUGGCCCUUACGACCAGGGCUACACACGUGCUACAAUGGCGCAUACAAAGAGAAGCGACCUCGCGAGAGCAAGCGGACCUCAUAAAGUGCGUCGUAGUCCGGAUUGGAGUCUGCAACUCGACUCCAUGAAGUCGGAAUCGCUAGUAAUCGUGGAUCAGAAUGCCACGGUGAAUACGUUCCCGGGCCUUGUACACACCGCCCGUCACACCAUGGGAGUGGGUUGCAAAAGAAGUAGGUAGCUUAACCUUCGGGAGGGCGCUUACCACUUUGUGAUUCAUGACUGGGGUG